AAGUCGUAACAAGGUUUCCGUAGGUGAACCUGCGGAAGGAUCAUUAUAAAAUUUUCAUAUAUUAUUUAUUUAAUAUAUAAAAUUAAUAUACAAAAUGUAUUCAAAACCCACACACUUUAUAACCAAAAAAAAAAUAUAUAUUUUAAUAUAUAUUAUAUAUAAAAAACAACUUUCAACAACGGAUCUCUUGGCUCUC
rnacentral:misc_RNA from 1 species